GUCCACGCCGUAAACGAUGGACACUAGGCGUCGGGGGAGCGACCCCUCCGGUGCCGUCGCUAACGCAGUAAGUGUCCCGCCUGGGGAGUACGGCCGCAAGGCUGAAACUCAAAGGAAUUGACGGGGGCCCGCACAAGCGGUGGAGCAUGUGGUUUAAUUCGAAGCAACGCGAAGAACCUUACCUGGGCUUGACAUGCUGGUGAAAGCUGGUGGAAACACCGGCCCCUCUUCGGAGCGCCAGCACAGGUGCUGCAUGGCUGUCGU
rnacentral:rRNA from 1 species